rnacentral:rRNA from 1 species
UGCAAGUCGAGCGGACCGACGGGAGCUUGCUCCCUUAGGUCAGCGGCGGACGGGUGAGUAACACGUGGGUAACCUGCCUGUAAGACUGGGAUAACUCCGGGAAACCGGGGCUAAUACCGGAUGCUUGAUUGAACCGCAUGGUUCAAUCAUAAAAGGUGGCUUUUAGCUACCACUUGCAGAUGGACCCGCGGCGCAUUAGCUAGUUGGUGAGGUAACGGCUCACCAAGGCGACGAUGCGUAGCCGACCUGAGAGGGUGAUCGGCCACACUGGGACUGAGACACGGCCCAGACUCCUACGGGAGGCAGCAGUAGGGAAUCUUCCGCAAUGGACGAAAGUCUGACGGAGCAACGCCGCGUGAGUGAUGAAGGUUUUCGGAUCGUAAAACUCUGUUGUUAGGGAAGAACAAGUACCGUUCGAAUAGGGCGGYACCUUGACGGUACCUAACCAGAAAGCCACGGCUAACUACGUGCCAGCAGCCGCGGUAAUACGUAGGUGGCAAGCGUUGUCCGGAAUUAUUGGGCGUAAAGCGCGCGCAGGCGGUUUCUUAAGUCUGAUGUGAAAGCCCCCGGCUCAACCGGGGAGGGUCAUUGGAAACUGGGGAACUUGAGUGCAGAAGAGGAGAGUGGAAUUCCACGUGUAGCGGUGAAAUGCGUAGAGAUGUGGAGGAACACCAGUGGCGAAGGCGACUCUCUGGUCUGUAACUGACGCUGAGGCGCGAAAGCGUGGGGAGCGAACAGGAUUAGAUACCCUGGUAGUCCACGCCGUAAACGAUGAGUGCUAAGUGUUAGAGGGUUUCCGCCCUUUAGUGCUGCAGCAAACGCAUUAAGCACUCCGCCUGGGGAGUACGGUCGCAAGACUGAAACUCAAAGGAAUUGACGGGGGCCCGCACAAGCGGUGGAGCAUGUGGUUUAAUUCGAAGCAACGCGAAGAACCUUACCAGGUCUUGACAUCCUCUGACAACCCUAGAGAUAGGGCUUCCCCUUCGGGGGCAGAGUGACAGGUGGUGCAUGGUUGUCGUCAGCUCGUGUCGUGAGAUGUUGGGUUAAGUCCCGCAACGAGGGCAACCCUUGAUCUUAGUUGCCAGCAUUCAGUUGGGCACUCUAAGGUGACUGCCGGUGACAAACC